rnacentral:tRNA from 1 species
CAGUAAAUAGUUUAAAUAAAAAAAUUUUAAUUUUGGGGAUUAAUGACGAGUAUUACUCUUUACUGA